rnacentral:rRNA from 1 species
ACCUACGGGAGGCAGCAGUGGGGAAUAUUGGGCAAUGGGCGCAAGCCUGACCCAGCAACGCCGCGUGAAGGAAGAAGGCUUUCGGGUUGUAAACUUCUUUUGACAGGGAAGAGUAGAAGACGGUACCUGUCGAAUAAGCCACGGCUAACUACGUGCCAGCAGCCGCGGUAAUACGUAGGUGGCAAGCGUUGUCCGGAUUUACUGGGUGUAAAGGGCGUGUAGCCGGGUUGACAAGUCAGAUGUGAAAACCAUGGGCUCAACCUGUGGCCUGCAUUUGAAACUGUUUUUCUUGAGUACUGGAGAGG